rfam:Octopus bimaculoides Scaffold18214_contig_76, whole genome shotgun sequence.
GUAACUUCUGUAGUACAUGUUUUAAAAUUGGUAAGACACAGAAAAGAUUAGCAUGACUGUUAGUCAAUGGUGUCAUAUAAAUUUGUGAAGUGUCCCAUAUUUUU